rnacentral:rRNA from 1 species
AUGCACCUUGAUGAUACCUUUUGCCCUAACUGUAAUCAGCAAGCAGAAGAAACUCCUAUGCAUUUAUUGUGGGAUUGCAGUUUUGCGCAAGACUGCUGGAACUCUCUGAUUCCAAACAGACAAAGAGGAACUUCUGUUUAUGAGGACACCAUCUUGGCCACGCAGCUCCUUCCAAAACAAUUUGCUGUCGAAAUCCUUAUUUUGGGUUGUUGGAACAUUUGGAUUCAGCGAAAUAACUUUGUGUUCAGAGCACUUCCUCAUUCAAUUCAGUCUUGGAGAUACCACCUCAAGAAUGAUCUUAAGCUACUUCGACAUAAGAUCAAGCAAAAGUUUGCAGUUCGCUUUUCACAGUGGAUAGAUCAUAAUCUGUAA